CGCUAUACAACAGUGCUAUAGCGAUGCUAUCUGACAACAUUUUGAACUAAACAGCAUAUAGCCGAAAAGUAGAAGCAUAGCACUGCUAGCCGCUAUUUAACAAACACUGCACAAGAUCUAUCGUAUUAUCAUUAACUACGAGUAAGAAGCUAGGAUCACUUUAAACAUUCAUUUUGACAAUGUUGAUUUCAUGAUACUACAUGAGAGCACAAGUACAAGUUGACAAUAUUGCUAAUGAAAAAUAAUGAAUUUUAUUCAUCACAAAUCAUUAAUAUACAUAGUUCUGUAUUUUAACGAAGCAAUCUGGAUAUUUUACAAAUCAAAAAAGGAAAUAGUAACUCUGCCGCCAUCCUAGUUUCAUCUUAUUUUCCAUUGUUAGUACUUUUUGUGACUGCUAGUGUGGACAUCCAAUCCAAGUGUCUGAGGAUUAAAUCAAUGCCUGUUACGAACCGAUUAAUAAUUAACGUAUCAUAAAUUCAUAAGUGAAGAGAGAUCUAGCCAAAAAUAUAACAUACUCAAUAUAAAGUUAAAAUUAUAAUGUAGGAAUGCACAAAACUGAUACCAUAUUAGUUCUAAAACUCUUCUUAAUUUCUAUUAAAGAAAAGGAUUUGUAGAGUACUAAUGUCGUCGAAUGCUAUGCAAAUCAAUGAAAAACAGUAAGCAUGUUUAUAUAUUGAAAGACAUGCCUGUUUUUCCUGUGCACAAUCUUUAGAUUGAAGGUUUCAAAUUCCUCCUCCUGUGCCUUUAUUUGCCUUACCUGCUCUUGCACCGCAGCGAUCUCUUCAUCCUCUUGUGAUAC
rnacentral:lncRNA from 1 species